GACAGGUAUGGUCAGAUAUUUACACUGGUGCUCCAUUUUGUCGAUGUGGACACGUAUCCUGAACUACGAUGGUA
rnacentral:lncRNA from 1 species